GCCCCCCGACUCCAAAUUUCUCAAGUACCAUUACCACUAGUCUCUCUCCUCCUCCUCCUCCUCUCUCUCUCUCUUUUCCUUCCUCUGCUCUCCCCCGCGGCGCUGCUGCUUCCUCGCCACGCCAGAGCCGAGCGAACCCCACCCGGUCCAGUCUCCCGUCUUCUCCGUCGCCCUCCCGAGCCGGACGCCGAGCCCUAGCCCUAGAGCCCUGCGGAUGGAGGAGGAACGGGGGCCGCUGACCCGGAGGUAGGGGCGGCGCCGAUCGGUGGGGCGGAGGGGAAUGAGGGCACCGCAGGAGCGCACCAUGAGGGAUCUCUACGAUCGCUCGCGGCACAAGGAUCUCGCGGCCCUCGAGGAACCAGCGGAAGGGCGCGGCGCAGGACGCGCGGUGGGUUCAGGGCAUCGAGAAGUGGUUGCCAAGAUGGAGGACAAGACUACAAUAAGGAAAAGAUUGGUAUCAAGCGAUAACACUCGUGUGAAGGCAGAGUCUGGCACCUGCAAUGUCUGUUAUGCUCCUUGCUCCUCGUGCCUACACCGAAGUUUUGCCCUUGCAGAUUCAAAUGUUGACUGUGGGUCAUCUCAAACAUGCUCCACAAGGUCAGAAAUAAAAAACAAUUCACUCUUUCAUAGUGAGAAAGGGCUACGCAAUAGAGGAGAAAACGAUGAUCAAUUCAGUGCAGCCUCCAGUAAUGCUUCCUACUCUGAAACUGGUGGAAAUAAAGCAGUUGCAAGAUCAUCCAUUGCAGAGGAUUCUUCAGAAGUUGACAUGCCAACAAAGCGUAGGAGGCUAUCAAAUCAAGAUACGAGACUAUCUAGAGCAGAAUACCAUGAUGACAGCAACUCAUGUGUUACUGGUAAACCAGGAGAAGGCAAACUUCUUCCGGAGAAGAAAAAACUAUUGACUUCUGCAUCCAGUCGUGAUCUGACUGUUAAAGAUUAUAAAGACAAUAGCAUCACUAGUCAUAGCAGACUAAGAAAUCAAUGUGUCGAUGAAUCUACAGCAAAGAAAGGAUCUGACAUUCAUGAUAUGCAUCCUAGCUCAUCUGGUAGAUUGUUUCCUGCCAAUUCCUCUUCUGUUAUGACCAAAGAGUUGCUGCGGACUCAAUCCUGUGUUAGUGCAUCAAAAGGACUAUCUCCUAAGAGGCAAGCUCAUGAGUUUGGAAAAACGCAAGAUAAUUUAUCUCAUCAACCUAGCGAGAAGGCUUCUGUUUCAAAUAAUAACAUAGAGCAACAACCGGUUAGAAAAUUGAACCCUUGUGUAGUUGAUGGUGACAACCGUAGCAUGCUGAAAGGUUACAGUACGAGCAACAAAAAUGAAAACAAAGCUGGAUUCUCCCCAAAAGAUCUGGAUAAUGGCACCUCAUGCUCAAAAGAAGAAAUUCAAGAACAUGCUGACAUCCAGUCAAACAAUGAUGCUAAGAGAAAUGGAGGUGGUAAACAAGACUCGAAUCAAGAUUGUUCAAUGGAUAUAUCUAGCGAUGGAAAAUUGAAUGUACAGAAUGAUGCGAUGACAGACUGUGGGAACUCGGAAGGCUUAAUAGAUGUUAACGUUUGUGAUAUAUGUGGAGAUGUUGGUAGGGAGUAUCUUCUAGCUACAUGCACUAGAUGCCUUGAGGGGGCGGAGCAUACUUACUGCAUGCGAGUGAAGUUGGAUAAAGUUCCAGAUGCUGAAUGGUUGUGUGAAGAAUGCCAGCUCAAGGAAGAUCAAAGCAAAAUAAAGCGUAAAUAUGGUGUUACGACGGUUAAUAUUUUGGAAGGAAAGAAACAAAGUUCAGAAAGUCGAAGUAACCCUAAGGCGUUGCAAGUUGCUAUGCCUAAUUUGGAUGCUCCACAAAUUACCUGCAGCAAACCGACAGCUGAUCUAUGUGAUGCUAAGAAUCAAAAGUUGCAUUUAGCGUCCGCUGAUGCACAAACACGACAAGUGAAGGUUACCACCCCAGCUGCUGAAAGAUUGGAUGUGAAGAAUAAAAAUUUAAGUAUGGCAAACCAUAAGAAAUUGCAAGUUGUUACAUCUGAUUUGGAAGCACGGCCACAUACUAAUGGAACACCAACGCCUGGAAGCUCAAACAAGAACAAUCAAAGUUCAGAAUUUUGGUUAAACCGUAAGAAGUUGCGAGUUUCUACUGAUAUGGAAUCACCAUUGUCGAGUGAAGGUUUGCGGAGUCCACCUGUAUCAUGUAAGAGACUGGCAGAGAAUACUUCAUCCCCUAAUCCUAAGCUCUUCAAGACAGACAACCUUAGAAAACAUGAUGUCUUCUCUCGUGAGAACUCAUUUAAGAAAUCUAACAAGGGAAGUUUAAAUUCACUUGAUAAUGCUCCAGUGAGGACUACUCAGGUGGUCAAAAGUCCGCAGACCUUAUCACGGUCAUAUUCCUUGGGAAGCACGGUGAAUGCUAAAGCACCAGUUCCUUCACCAAGAGGUCUUUUAUCGAAGCAACUGUCUUUCAACAGCUCCAACAGUGGACCAAAGGUCAAGCAGUUGGCUGAAGGCAUGACAAGCAAGUUGAGGUAUGCAAAACAUUCCCCAAGAGACCCUAGAGAUAAGGGGCCUAUCAAAAAAAUUAUGAAAUCUGGAUCUUUCAAAUUUGAGGGUUCUGUUUGCAAAGAUGCCAGCUCAUCAAAACCAAAGCUAUCGUUUCAUUUGUCUCAAGAUGAAAAACCAGGAAUAUUGAAGCCAAUGAAAGAAAAGAAUUUGAUAGAAAGAAGAGCUUCCUUUAGUUUUAAAAAACCAAACAUUCCUUCAUCUCCAAGGCCUGACAGUUCUACGAAGUCAGGGGAAAGAAAAAUUGACCCGGAUAUUUCAAGGUCUGGACCAAGUAUACUUAAAAGUAGCAAAAAACCUGGAAAUGUUGAAAGAAAACAGAGCUCUGAUUUGUCUAAAAAUGACAAGCAAAAUGCCACUGUGCAUCGAAGACCAAUAGGAGUUGUUUCUGGUAAAGAUGCUUACACAGUGAAGAUAUCUGAUACACCUGUUUCAUCCCAAUGUGCCAAAAAGGAUAGCUUGAAUGAUGGUGAGGAUGAAGAUUUGUUCGUUUUGAUAAAAAAUGGUAACGAAAUGCCAACGAAGCCUACUGAGGUCCUUCCCACAACAUGUGCCACCAUGACUUGCCAACCAGAUUUGCGAGAUACAGUUCCAAGAGCAAACGCCUUUGAAGAUUCGGUUUCUGAAGUGGUAUGCUGCCAACAAAAGCAUUUGGAAAGUGCAGUAAAAGGAUCCUGCAAUGUUGUAGAGACAGCUCAAGCUUCAGAAGACAUAUUGCCUGAAAGCCCACAUGUUCUUCGGAUGGUACAUAAACUAUACGCCACUGACAAUAAAUUGAAUAAACCCAAUUUGAAGCAAGAAGCUUUUGUUGAUCAAUCCUUGACUCUCGAAAGCCCUUCAAGAGAUUUAGUUAUUCCAGAGCAAUCUUACAUCUGGCAGGGUAGCUUUGAGGUUUCGAGACAUGGAAACUCCACCAAAAUGUUUGAUGGGAUCCAGGCUUACUUGUCUACUUGUGCCUCGUCCAAAGCACGUGAAGUAGGCAAACAAUUACCUCACAAAAUUCUGCUAGCAGAAGUCACGCGGCAUUCCUCAUGGCCGCUGCAAUUUAAGGAAGUAAAUCCAACGGAAGAUAACAUUGCUCUUUUUUUCUUUGCUAAAGAUGUUGAAAGUUACGAAAGAGCAUACGAGAAACUCUUGGAAAACAUGCUUCUUGGUGAUUUAGCCCUCACAGCAAAUAUUGGUGGCACUGAACUUCUCAUUUUUUCCUCUGAUAAAUUGCCUGAGAGGACUCAACGUUGGAAUGGUUUACUUUUCUUAUGGGGCAUCUUUUAUGCCCGUAAAGCAAGUAGCUCACCAGACCUUCCUGUCACAGAGACAAACAAUUGUGCACUAGAACCAAUCACCAGACCUGCUAUCCAGCAUGAUGUGUGUUCCCCUAAGGUGCUUCAAUCUUUGGGUAUAGAUUUGAAUGAGUGCCCUAAUGAUGAUUUAUCUGACCCGGUUGUAUCACUUGGAUCGGGGAUGGAGAAGUCUGGUGCAUCUACAGAUCAUAAUACUAUGUUGGAGUCCAAACAGGAGCAUAGAAAGCUACAUGCAUGUGAAAUACAUCAUGAAGAAACUGCAGGCACCAGACAGAUUGUUUUGGGGCAUUCUACAGCAGCUCCCUGUGGAACUCAAUUUCCCACAAUCUCAACAGGUGGUCGCGAUAUGAUGCAGGAUCAUCCAAGUGCUGCAAAAGGCACCACCGGAAUAGCAGGUAGAGGCAACAUGGAGGAAGAUGGCUUUUUUCAGGAUGAAGCUCUCUUCUGUGUUGCGCGACAAGCAGGUGCAAUAAGAUCAAUCUCAGAUGAGAUAAUAGCUAAGAAACAGGCACUUCUAUCCUCUGUAGAGGUAUCUCCACAGCAUUUUAGUGGAUCAAAGAUUUCUGAUGAUACAAGCGAAUUAAUUCUGAAGUCAGACAUGGGUUCGUUAGAUUCUGACUUAAGCUACAAAAGGCAAAAGACUUUUCAUGAAAAGCACUCUACUUGCAGUUUUGGAGAUGCACAACUGCCUAGCAAAUGCAUGUCCAAGAUACACCACUUACCUGCUGGUCAGCAUAAUCCAUUCGACGAUGUACAGUAUAUUUACAGGGGUUCCUCAGAUCCUGGCUCCCUUAAAAAACCCAUCCCUGAUCAUGUCAUCCAUGUUCUUUCAUCUGACGAUGAAGACUCCCCACAACCUAGCACUAGCUUAAAUAAGGCAUCACUGAAGGCGGAUGAGGGCUCCUCCCCUUUAUUGUCACUGUCCCUGUCUACGGUGGCAACAAAGCAUAGACCUUCUGGUUCAAAUAUUGGGGAUGAUGAACUGCUGUCUCUAUCUCUUAGGCUCCCUAGUGUUGUUGAAGGGAGUCGGGCUCUGGAGAUGAAGCAGUUUCUGCCAGAGAAGCCAGGCAUAAACACAUAAUGCUUCUUUAGAUAUGAAGUAUCAAGUAAAUUCUGAUGAGGCUGACGAUUUCUGAUGUGGGGUAUGCCUUCUUUCUUCUCCCAAGCAUUUUAUGGAAUGUUUGCUCGCAGUUAGCAAUCCGUUAAUCUCCUUUUCACUAAUUCUAUGCUGUGGAAGGUUUCACCGGAAGAACCGAGCAUUUGGUAGGAAAAGGAACUGAAGGAUGCCGUCUUUGGAACUCAAUGUUGUGACUUGAGGUGUUUGCCUGCUUAGGACACCUUCCGCGCAGAUGGUGCUUGGCUGCUAGCCUGUACUCCCUUUCCUUUCCACGGUCUGGAACCCAUCCAUGGCAUUCAUUGACACUUGCAGAAGCAUCACCUCUUUCCUGCCUUUUGCGUAAGUUGGUGUGGGUUCAACGCCUUGCCAUUGUGCUUGGAGCCAUUGCUCUUAUGAGGAAGGUAUCUGAACAAGAUUAUUGAUCAUGAAGUUAAUUUGUAGCAUCACAUUCCCAUUAUUACGAAUCAUAAGAGAAAAUCAUCACUUAUUUGGCAGUUACUCUAUUUUUGAUGAUAGCAGCAUUUCCCUUCUCAAAAUGGUUCUAGGCUUCUAGCUUAGCACUGAGCAUUCGACUUGAAACUUCCAAUUAAGAAUGGAAUAAUGGAUGCUUGUACCUACAGUAACCUCUGUCCCCACCCCCCCCCCCCUCUUCCCCUCUGUGGGUAAGGAAUAUUACAGUUGUGCUGCAGUAAUAGGUAUCAUGAUUCAUACUCUUUCUAAAGCAAAUGUAUAGGACUAAUUGGUUCUCACAAUUCCUAAACACAUUAUUAUCGUGGAGGAUUUUGGUUGAACUAGAAUAUGUACAAAUUCAUUUAUAUCCUAUUCAACAAGCAUCAUACUACAUUUGGAAUGUCCUAGAGCCUACUUUUCCUUUUCACCAGACUUGACAUUUAUAGCUGUUUGUUUUUGGUUUGUGAGCCCAGCUUCAUGGUAUAUUUCAGCUUUUAAUGUUUCACCCUAUAUUCAGUUUCUGAAGUCUUUUGUUUGUUUGUGUUUAUGCAUGUUCUGAUAUGUUAUUCAUAUGCUUAUGUUGAACUCCUGCAACAAGAGAGUUUGCACUCCCUGUAAUCCUUUAAUUGAAAGUCUGAAUUAUGUUGAUGGUUUAUCCAUCACCAAAUUGCCCACAUCUCUUUGGUCAUUUGCUGUCAUUGGUUGAUUUUUUAUCUUAUGUUACUUACAGCUUCAUCGUUCUCCUAAACACUAAGCUAUAAAAAGUAAAAAUAUUAGUAGUUUCACCUGCACUACAUGUGUCCCUAAAAAGGCUAAAACUCUUCCUCCUGGCACACUGUUAGUACUAAUUGUGGUUCCAGUCAUUUGGUUAUUUUUUUUACCAGUCGCUCAUUUUUUAAGUAAGAUCAGGGUGCUGGAAUUAUGUUGCAACUUCAUGGCAAUCCUUGGUGUUCAAUAUCAUGUGUCUUUUUUGUUCAUUUCAAUCAUUGGUUCAGUAUUGCUCUAACUGCUAAGUUGAAUAAAAUGACACGAGAUUUUAGCGGAGAUUCUCAUUUUGGAGUUGCCAUGCAUGUAUAUGCUGUUGUUUCACACAUUAAGUUGCCUAUCUGGGUGCUCUCUAGUAAAAUCCCACUUUGUCACCUGUUCUCAAAAAAUAUUCGAACUUAAAGUUGUAGAAGCCACCACAUAGGAAUUUGACAUCUCACAAGGUACGGUGGUGGCCUGUUUUCGGUUCAGCACAUAGUCAGCUUUAGCAAGUACGUCCACAAAGCUGGAGUGUUUUUUUAAUGCUAUAUUGCUAUGCAUCGUACUGGUUCAAAUUACUUGCAUCAGUCUUUGGGGACCAACUUGCUCUCAUCAAGUUUGGUUGGUAGUGUACAUAUACAUUGUAGUUGCACUGUUUACUGGUAGCUGAUAUAUGUUAACAUCUUCGAAUCACCACAUGUACUUGAGGUAGAUUCCAUUGGCUUGGAUUACUGACUCCAGCAUAUAUUCACUCAUCUGUCAUACCUUUUACCUGACUACUGUUUUUCUACAAAGCUAUCUUUGUUUAAUCUAAUGAAAUAUGCCGAUUUGUCAAUUAUGAUACUUCUAGUAUUAACUCACAAAUGACAGAUCCUUGCAGCUAGCCUCCAAUCCUAUUUAAUUGACUUUCAUCAUUUCAAUCUGGCUAUCUUGUUACAGGGAUACAGGGUCUGAACAAUACGUCUCAUUGCCUAUUGAUCUUACUGGUUUCAAAAUUUGAUUAGUUUUAACCUUUGUUACUUUUUGAUGAUCCUGUUAGUUAAGAGAGGCUGUAGCAAACAUCUGGCAAAUGCUUUGCCCAACAAAUCCCUACAGCAGGUCAGUGAGCAAGUGUCACAAGUGAUACAUUUGUUGGCGACUUGACAGAGGAUCUAGGACUUCGUUGCAAGAUCAAAUGAUUUCGGGGCGAUAAUCCUGAGUAGUGAUAGGCUGCAGUGUCUAUGGUCAUUUUGGGGGUUGUAAGCAGAGGCACCGUACGUGCAUUUUUUAGACUGUGUGUGUGAUGCAAUAAGGGCCUGGUUGCCCGGGGUCUGCAGCGCUUCAGGUCGGCAGUUAUUGGUAGUGUCUAUGGUCAUUUUUAGACUUUCUGGUAGCACAGCAUGGUGAUAGCUGCUUGCAAAUGGUGAAAUCUGAAAAAUUCCCAUUUUCC